ACACAAAACUUCAGUUUAUUCUUAGUUUCACCAUUACUAAUGAGGUAAUUUGUGUUUGCAGCUGAACGAUAUAUGUACUGCUACAGAUCACUGAACCAUUUCAAGUUACUGAGCUAGUGCUACCUGGUGAUUCAGAUAAUGGAUUGGCACUUGAGAUCUUCUGGAAAGGAUGAAGAGUCAACCUCUUCUCAAUCCCUCCAUGCCAUCCUUUUCCAUGGAUCUUCCAACUUGAAUAGAAACUCUGCACUAAAUUCCUGAGCUUUAAGGAAGGUAUUCUCAGCAUCUACAAGGUAAGCAGGUGGCAGGGAGAGGUAGCUGAUCUCUCCAGUUUAAUUCAGACCCAUCUAGC
rnacentral:lncRNA from 1 species